CGAACGAACCUUCGGGUUAGUGGCGGACGGGUGAGUAACGCGUGGGAAUCUGCCCUCAGGAGGGGGAUAACGGCUGGAAACGGCCGCUAAUACCCCAUAUGCCGAGAGGUGAAACGAAUUUCGCCUGAGGAUGAGCCCGCGUCUGAUUAGCUAGUUGGUGAGGUAAGAGCUCACCAAGGCAUCGAUCAGUAGCUGGUCUGAGAGGAUGAUCAGCCACACUGGGACUGAGACACGGCCCAGACUCCUACGGGAGGCAGCAGUGGGGAAUUUUCCGCAAUGGGCGAAAGCCUGACGGAGCAACGCCGCGUGAGGGAUGAAGGCCUCUGGGCUGUAAACCUCUUUUCUCAAGGAAGAAGAUCUGACGGUACUUGAGGAAUAAGCCACGGCUAAUUCCGUGCCAGCAGCCGCGGUAAUACGGGAGUGGCAAGCGUUAUCCGGAAUUAUUGGGCGUAAAGCGUCCGCAGGCGGCCUUUCAAGUCUGCUGUUAAAACGUGGAGCUUAACUCCAUCAUGGCAGUGGAAACUGUUGGGCUUGAGUGUGGUAGGGGCAGAGGGAAUUCCCGGUGUAGCGGUGAAAUGCGUAGAUAUCGGGAAGAACACCAGUGGCGAAGGCGCUCUGCUGGGCCAUCACUGACGCUCAUGGACGAAAGCCAGGGGAGCGAAAGGGAUUAGAUACCCCUGUAGUCCUGGCCGUAAACGAUGAACACUAGGUGUCGGGGGAAUCGACCCCCUCGGUGUCGUAGCCAACGCGUUAAGUGUUCCGCCUGGGGAGUACGCACGCAAGUGUGAAACUCAAAGGAAUUGACGGGGGCCCGCACAAGCGGUGGAGUAUGUGGUUUAAUUCGAUGCAACGCGAAGAACCUUACCAGGGUUUGACAUCCUGCGAAUCUCUUGAAACGAGAGAGUGCCUUCGGGAACGCAGUGACAGGUGUGCAUGCUGUCGUCAGCUCGUGUCGUGAGAUGUGGUAGUCCCGCACGAGCGCACCACGUCUUAGUGCAGCAUUAGUGGGCACUCUAGAGAGACCGCGGUGAUAAUGGAGAAGGGUGAUGACGUCAGUCAUCAUGCCCUACAUCCUGGGCUACACACGUACUACAAUGCUACGGACAAAGAGUAGUAAGUUCGGAGACAAGCAAUUCUCUAAACCUUGCUCGAUUCGAUCGUAGCUGCACCUCGCCCUCAGUGAGGAGAGAAUCCUCUAUAUUCUAAGUUGAUAAAUUUGGUGGAGAAUUUCGGCCGGUGUAAGAAGCGGCUGACAUAUGGAAAAUGUGUAGUUAGGCCCGAGACG
rnacentral:rRNA from 1 species